ensembl:misc_RNA Metazoa_SRP Metazoan signal recognition particle RNA
GCUGGGUGUGGUGGUGCACACCUGUAAUCCCAGCUACUCAGGAGGCUGAGGCAGAAGAAUGGCUUGAACCCGGGAGGGAGACGGAGGUUGCAGUGAGGCGAGAUCGUGCCACUGCACUCCAGCCUGGGCGACAGAGUCAGACUCUGUCUCAA